UGUCCAACCUGUACUCGCGUCGGAACCUGC
rnacentral:piRNA from 1 species